rnacentral:lncRNA from 12 species
ACCAGCAGCCAUGAUCCUCUGAAGAUGAUAGCUAUUGUGUGUAUAUGUGUGUAUAAUCACUAAAGCCAGUGCAAACAACAUGUGGCAAGAAAGCAAAGGUUGUAUAAACAGGUCAAAAAAGGACUUGACAGAUCCUUAAGAAAAUGAAAUAAGCAUGACCGAAGUCUACGAAAUAUUCGGGAAUUCACUUUAAUAUAUGAUAACUUAAAUUAUGAGAUUAAUGGACACAAAGUUGAUUUUGGAGCUGUAAUAAGGUAAGUGGAAAUUUGCAUUAUUUUAGGGUCUAUGACAAUUAAUUGUAUUUGCAUAUUUCUAUAAGCUCACGUAGGGAG